rnacentral:rRNA from 1 species
UACAGAGGGUGCGAGCGUUAAUCGGAAUUACUGGGCGUAAAGCGUGCGCAGGCGGUUUUGUUAGCCAGGUGUUAAAUCCCCGGGCUUAACCUGGGAAUGGCAUUUGGGACUGCAAGGCUGGAGUGUGGCAGAGGAGACUGGAAUUCCUGGUGUAGCAGUGAAAUGCGUAGAUAUCAGGAGGAAUACCGAUGGCGAAGGCAGGUCUCUGGGCUAACACUGACGCUCAUGCACGAAAGCGUGGGGAGCAAACAGG